CCAACCCAAAGAAAUGAACAGAGGAAGAACAUGAGAUAGACAACAGUUCCACUGGGAAACAAAUCAAAGGAAGUGAUUGAUCAGCAUUGCUGUUGGAAGGGGGAGGAAACAGUGUUUUGCGUGGAUAUAUGUGUACCAAAUUCACCAAGGAAGUCAGAAGAGAGCGUCAGACACCCUGAACGUGGAGUUGCCGUGUAGGUGCUGGGAACCAAACCCAGGUCCUUCGCAAGAGCAGCCAGGUUGGGGCUUUGCUAAACAUCACUGCUCUUAAAUGUGGGUUUCUGAGCAAGCGUCUUCCAAGAGGAUACUUUGAGCUGUGGAAAUGCGGUCAAAAGCCAUUUUAUAGGCCUUGAUGGAAGCUGCCAGUGUUUGGUGAAAGGCCCUAGCCAUUCCUACCUCAGUCACAGCCACCAGCACUGGACAAUGAUGGUUUCGAAAACAGACAUUAAAGCACAGCAGAGCUGUCUGUCUUGCAUCCUGAGGGUUUCAUCCAUUGCCUUAAGGACACUAAGUUCCCAUGUGAAGACUACAGAGUCAUCUAAUUUUCUACCAGUGUUUGACUUGAAAUGGGCUGAACGCUUUACCUUGUAGAAGAUACCAGCAGUCCCUGCUACCAGUUGAACAUAAACAUUUUCAAAACAAAACCCAUUUCUUCUGCCUCUCUUUAAUGCCCUGCUUACCCCUCACCCUCUGAGAGCACAGAAACUGUUCUCACUAUGUACUAACUAAGGAAGGAAGUGCACGUCUCUUCUUAUUCUGUUUGUAGGCAAGCAUUUCCCACCCCAUCGGAAGCCUGUCCUGGAAGCAUUUUCUUUCUGUUUAUCUCUUUCUAUCUUCAUUUUAAAAAUUAGAUUGACAUUUUUCAGGAAAAUUGUUUCCUUGCUUUUUUUCAAGAAAAAAAAAAUAAGGCUUAUGUCUGAUUAGGGAUGUAAAACAUUUUAUUAUAGAACCUCCCCCUAGAAAAUAAAAACAACCCAGAAACAAA
rnacentral:lncRNA from 1 species